rnacentral:rRNA from 1 species
GACGAACGCUGGCGGCGUGCCUAACACAUGCAAGUCGAACGAGUUGUUUAAGGUAGCAAUAUUUUGAGCAGCAAGUGGCGAACGGGUGAGUAACACGUAGAUAAUCUGCCUUUCAGACGGGGAUAACUCAGGGAAACUUGUGCUAAUACCCGAUGAGACUACGAGGGGGGACCUUCGCAGCCAAAGGUGGGCGAAAGCUCACGCUGGAAGAUGAGUCUGCGUCCUAUCAGCUAGUUGGUGGGGUAAAAGCCUACCAAGGCGAAGACGGGUAGCCGGCCUGAGAGGGUGAACGGCCACACUGGGACUGAGACACGGCCCAGACUCCUACGGGAGGCAGCAGUGAGGAAUUUUCCGCAAUGGGCGCAAGCCUGACGGAGCGACGCCGCGUGAGGGAUGACGGCCUUCGGGUUGUAAACCUCUUUUAUUAAGGAAAAAGGCAAUCGUGCUAACACCACGGUUGUUUGAUGGUACUUAUUGAAUAAGCCCCGGCUAACUACGUG